rnacentral:rRNA from 1 species
AGAGUUUGAUCAUGGCUCAGGAUGAACGCUAGCUACAGGCUUAACACAUGCAAGUCGAGGGGCAGCAUGUCAGUGGCUUGCCACUGAUGAUGGCGACCGGCGCACGGGUGAGUAACGCGUAUCCAACUUCCCCCCAGUAGGGAAUAGCCCGGCGAAAGUCGGAUUAAUGCCCUAUGUUUUCCCUUGAGAGCAUUUGACUGGGAACAAAGAUUUAUCGCUGGGGGAUGGGGAUGCGUCUGAUUAGAUGGUAGGCGGGGUGACGGCCCACCUAGUCGACGAUCAGUAGGGGUUCUGAGAGGAAGGUCCCCCACAUUGGAACUGAGACACGGUCCAAACUCCUACGGGAGGCAGCAGUGAGGAAUAUUGGUCAAUGGCCGGGAGGCUGAACCAGCCAAAAGUAGCGUGCGGGACGACGGCCCUAUGGGUUGUAAACCGCUUUUGCCGGGGAAUAAAGUGUCCCACGCGUGGGGCUUUGCAUGUACCCGGAGAAUAAGGACCGGCUAAUUCCGUGCCAGCCGCAGC